rnacentral:miRNA from 1 species
AUUGGGUUGGCCAGAAAGUUCAUUCAGAUUUUUCUGUAACAGCUUACUGAAAAACCAGAAUGAACUUUUUGGUCAACCCAA